UCCAGACUCCUACGGGAGGCAGCAGUGGGGGAUAUUGCACAAUGGGGGAAACCCUGAUGCAGCGACGCCGCGUGGGUGAAGAAGUAUUUCGGUAUGUAAAGCCCUAUCAGCAGGGAAGAAAGAAGACGGUACCUGACUAAGAAGCCCCGGCUAACUACGUGCCAGCAGCCGCGGUAAUACGUAGGGGGCGAGCGUUAUCCGGAUUCACUGGGUGUAAAGGGAGCGUAGACGGCCGUGCAAGCCAGGAGUGAAAGCCCGGGGCCCAACCCCGGGACUGCUCUUGGAACUGUGCGGCUGGAGUGCGGGAGGGGCAGGCGGAAUUCCUGGUGUAGCGGUGAAAUGCGUAGAUAUCAGGAGGAACACCGGCGGCGAAGGCGGCCUGCUGGACCGCGACUGACGUUGAGGCUCGAAAGCGUGGGGAGCGAACAGGAUUAGAUACCCGAGUAGA
rnacentral:rRNA from 1 species